AUGAACGCUGGCGGCGUGCCUAAUACAUGCAAGUCGAGCGAACGGACGAGAAGCUUGCUUCUCUGAUGUUAGCGGCGGACGGGUGAGUAACACGUGGAUAACCUACCUAUAAGACUGGGAUAACUUCGGGAAACCGGAGCUAAUACCGGAUAAUAUUUUGAACCGCAUGGUUCAAAAGUGAAAGACGGUCUUGCUGUCACUUAUAGAUGGAUCCGCGCUGCAUUAGCUAGUUGGUAAGGUAACGGCUUACCAAGGCAACGAUGCAUAGCCGACCUGAGAGGGUGAUCGGCCACACUGGAACUGAGACACGGUCCAGACUCCCACGGGAGGCAGCAGUAGGGAAUCUUCCGCAAUGGGCGAAAGCCUGACGGAGCAACGCCGCGUGAGUGAUGAAGGUCUUCGGAUCGUAAAACUCUGUUAUUAGGGAAGAACAUAUGUGUAAGUAACUGUGCACAUCUUGACGGUACCUAAUCAGAAAGCCACGGCUAACUACGUG
rnacentral:rRNA from 1 species